UACGUAGGGGGCAAGCGUUGUCCGGAUUUAUUGGGCGUAAAGCGCUCGCAGGUGGUCCGAUGCGUCGUGCGUGAAAGACCCCGGCUCAACUGGGGAGGGUCGUGCGAUACGGUCGGACUGGAGGCCAGUAGGGGGAUGCGGAAUUCCGGGUGUAGUGGUGGAAUGCGUAGAGAUCCGGAGGAACACCAGCGGCGAAGGCGGCAUCCUGGACUGGUCCUGACACUCAUGAGCGAAAGCGUGGGGAGCGAACCGGG
rnacentral:rRNA from 1 species